rnacentral:rRNA from 1 species
CCUACGGGAGGCAGCAGUGGGGAAUAUUGGGCAAUGGAGGCAACUCUGACCCAGCAACGCCGCGUGAAUGAUGAAGGUCUUCGGAUUGUAAAGUUCUGUGAUGGGGGAUGAACACAAUGACGGUACCCCAAUAGCAAGCCACGGCUAACUACGUGCCAGCAGCAGCGGUAAUACGUAGGUGGCAAGCGUUAUCCGGAAUGACUGGGCGUAAAGGGUGCGUAGGUGGUUUAGUAAGUUGGCGGUGUAAUUCCGGGGCUCAACCUCGGCGCUACCGCCAAAACUAUUAGACUAGAGUGCAGGGGGGGUGAGUGGAAUUCCUAGUGUAGCGGUGGAAUGCGUAGAUAUUAGGAGGAACAUCAGGGGCGAAGGCGACUUACUGGACUGUAACUGACACUGAGGCACGAAAGCGUGGGGAGCAAACAGGAUUAGAUACCCCUGUAGUC